rnacentral:rRNA from 1 species
UACGGAGGAUGCGAGCGUUAUCCGGAUUUAUUGGGUUUAAAGGGUGCGUAGGCGGGCUUUUAAGUCAGCGGUAAAAAUUCGGGGCUCAACCCCGUCCGGCCGUUGAAACUGGGGGUCUUGAGUGGGCGAGAAGAAGGCGGAAUGCGUGGUGUAGCGGUGAAAUGCAUAGAUAUCACGCAGAACCCCGAUUGCGAAGGCAGCCUUCCGGCGCCCUACUGACGCUGAGGCACGAAAGUGCGGGGAUCGAUCAGG